AACGAACGCUGGCGGCAGGCUUAACACAUGCAAGUCGAACGGGUGUAGCAAUACAUCAGUGGCAGACGGGUGAGUAACACGUGGGAACCUUCCUCGUUGUACGGGACAACUCAGGGAAACUUGAGCUAAUACCGUAUACGUCCGAGAGGAGAAAGAUUUAUCGCAAUGAGACGGGCCCGCGUCGGAUUAGCUAGUUGGUAGGGUAACGGCCUACCAAGGCGACGAUCCGUAGCUGAUCUGAGAGGAUGAUCAGCCACACUGGGACUGAGACACGGCCCAGACUCCUACGGGAGGCAGCAGUGGGGAAUCUUGGACAAUGGGCGCAAGCCUGAUCCAGCCAUGCCGCGUGAGUGAAGAAGGCCUUAGGGUUGUAAAGCUCUUUUGCCAGGGACGAUAAUGACGGUACCUGGAGAAUAAGCCCGGCAAACUUCGUGCCAGCAGCCGCGGUAAUGU
rnacentral:rRNA from 1 species